rnacentral:rRNA from 1 species
GAUGAACGCUAGCUACAGGCUUAACACAUGCAAGUCGAGGGGAAACGACAUCGCAAGCUUGCUUUUGAUGGGCGUCGACCGGCGCACGGGUGAGUAACGCGUAUCCAACCUGCCCACCACUUGGGGAUAACCUUGCGAAAGUAAGACUAAUACCCAAUGAUAUCCCACGAAGACAUCUGAAUGGGAUUAAAGAUUUAUCGGUGAUGGAUGGGGAUGCGUCUGAUUAGCUUGUUGGCGGGGUAACGGCCCACCAAGGCAACGAUCAGUAGGGGUUCUGAGAGGAAGGUCCCCCACAUUGGAACUGAGACACGGUCCAAACUCCUACGGGAGGCAGCAGUGAGGAAUAUUGGUCAAUGGGCGAGAGCCUGAACCAGCCAAGUAGCGUGCAGGAAGACGGCCCUAUGGGUUGUAAACUGCUUUUAUAAGGGAAUAAAGUGGGUCACGUGUGACUUUUUGCAUGUACCUUAUGAAUAAGAACCGGCUAAUUCCGUG